CGCCCCUGACCCGCUGGGUUGGGUGGCCGGGUU
rnacentral:tRNA from 1 species